rnacentral:rRNA from 1 species
GAUGAACGCUGGCGGCGUGCCUAAUACAUGCAAGUCGAGCGAACAGACGCUGAGCUUGCUCCUCUGACGUUUGCGGCGGACGGGUGAGUCACACGUGGAUAACCUACCUAUAAGUCUGGGAUAAUUUCGGAAAACCGGCGCUAAUCCCGUAUAAUCUAUUGAACCGUAUGGGUCAAUGGUGAAAGACGGUUUUUGUGGCUCUACUCGAUGGUUCCGGGCCGCUUUAGAUAGUUGUUACGGUAACGGCUUUCCAAGGGAACGAUGCGUAGACGACCGAACAGGCGGAUCGCCCACAUGGGAGGGGGAACACGGACCAGACUCCUGAGGGAGGCAGCAGAAGGGAAUGUGACGCAGUAGGCGAAAGCCUGACGGAGCAACGCCGCGUGAGUGAUAGAGGUGUUCGGUGCGGAAAACUCUGUUAUGGGGGAAGAACAAAUGUGUAAGGAGAUGUGCACGUCUUGACGGUAACGAAUAAGGAAGCAACGGCUAACUACGUG